GGGGAAGUAGCUCAAUGGGAGAGCGCUUGUUUUGCAAACAAGUAAGUGUGAGUUCGAAUCUCAUCUUCUCCACCA
rnacentral:tRNA from 1 species